rnacentral:rRNA from 1 species
CAGGCUUAACACAUGCAAGUCGAGGGGCAGCAUCAUCAAAGCUUGCUUUGAUGGAUGGCGACCGGCGCACGGGUGAGUAACACGUAUCCAACCUGCCGACAACACUGGGAUAGCCUUUCGAAAGAAAGAUUAAUACCGGAUGGCAUAGUUUUCCCGCAUGGGAUGACUAUUAAAGAAUUUCGGUUGUCGAUGGGGAUGCGUUCCAUUAGGCAGUUGGCGGGGUAACGGCCCACCAAACCUACGAUGGAUAGGGGUUCUGAGAGGAAGGUCCCCCACAUUGGAACUGAGACACGGUCCAAACUCCUACGGGAGGCAGCAGUGAGGAAUAUUGGUCAAUGGACGAGAGUCUGAACCAGCCAAGUAGCGUGAAGGAUGACUGCCCUAUGGGUUGUAAACUUCUUUUAUACGGGAAUAAAGUUAGCCACGUGUGGCUUUUUGUAUGUACCGUAUGAAUAAGGAUCGGCUAACUCCGUGCCAGCAGCCGCGGUAAUACGGAGGAUCCGAGCGUUAUCCGGAUUUAUUGGGUUUAAAGGGAGCGUAGGCGGGUUGUUAAGUCAGUUGUGAAAGUUUGCGGCUCAACCGUAAAAUUGCAGUUGAUACUGGCGACCUUGAGUGCAACAGAGGUAGGCGGAAUUCGUGGUGUAGCGGUGAAAUGCUUAGAUAUCACGAAGAACUCCGAUUGCGAAGGCAGCUUACUGGAUUGUAACUGACGCUGAUGCUCGAAAGUGUGGGUAUCAAACAGGAUUAGAUACCCUGGUAGUCCACACAGUAAACGAUGAAUACUCGCUGUUGGCGAUAUACAGUCAGCGGCCAAGCGAAAGCAUUAAGUAUUCCACCUGGGGAGUACGCCGGCAACGGUGAAACUCAAAGGAAUUGACGGGGGCCCGCACAAGCGGAGGAACAUGUGGUUUAAUUCGAUGAUACGCGAGGAACCUUACCCGGGCUUAAAUUGCAACUGACUGAACCGGAAACGGUUCUUUCUUCGGACAGUUGUGAAGGUGCUGCAUGGUUGUCGUCAGCUCGUGCCGUGAGGUGUCGGCUUAAGUGCCAUAACGAGCGCAACCCUUACGGGUAGUUACCAUCAGGUUAUGCUGGGGACUCUACCCGGACUGCCGUCGUAAGAUGUGAGGAAGGUGGGGAUGACGUCAAAUCAGCACGGCCCUUACGUCCGGGGCUACACACGUGUUACAAUGGGGGGUACAGAAGGCAGCUACACGGCGACGUGGUGCUAAUCCCGAAAGCCUCUCUCAGUUCGGAUUGGAGUCUGCAACCCGACUCCAUGAAGCUGGAUUCGCUAGUAAUCGCGCAUCAGCCACGGCGCGGUGAAUACGUUCCCGGGCCUUGUACACACCGCCCGUCAAGCCAUGAAAGCCGGGGGUACCUGAAGUACGUAACCGCGAGGAGCGUCCUAGGGUAAAACUGGUGAUUGGGGC